CUUGAGCUGUAUAAAGCUUUAUAAUGGAAUUGUGCUUUGAAGAUAGCUGAAUUUUUGUACUAAUGUAAUUAUUAUUUUUUUACAGAAACCAUGGAUUGGGGCUCCAUUGUGGUAGGCACUGUACACACAUGUCUUUAAAAGAUAGUUCCUGCCCCAAAGAGUUUACAAUCUAAAUUAAACCAGGACACAACAGGUGGACAAAGCAAUGAGUGGGUGGGAUGGAGGAAGGAUAGAAGUGGAGAAUGAGUUAACAAUUAAACAAGUGUAUCUGAGCACAAUGAGCAUUAGUUCACCACCUGCCUCGCCAUUAUUGGCUCUCAAUGUCUCGAAAACGUGAUGGAUAAGUUCAUGCCUAGGUGGAUUUCACUGGAGAGUUUUUCCUAUAGUUAUGAAGGCACAUAGGUGAAAGAAUGGAAGCAUUUGUGAAAAAGCUGAAAUGCAGUGGAAGCUGAGAAUGUUGGUUGAGUUUGGAUAGUGAUUGAUGCCACAAUGAGUUAAUAGACAAACUGGACAGCUUGGGGAUAAGUUAUAAGAUCACUUAAUGUUGAAUCACCAGCUGAAGUUUUGGUAUGGUCUUCCUAGCCUGGAGGUGAUCAAGCCUUGCAGUACUGUGACUGGGUCAGCAUUUAAGAUGAAAGAGUCAUAAAGUUCAGCACCAGAAGGGACCACUAGAUUAUCUAGUCUGACUUCCUGUAUCUCACAGGCCACCAACACUACCCAGCACCUGAACACUAAAUCCAACAACUGAAAAGGCACAAUCUCUUGGCUUUCCAAAAAGUGAAAGAAGACAUCCUUCUGGCCUGUAUCUUCAGACACAGACUCGGACAAAUAACCCUUAAAUGAAAAAAGUGUUUAAAAAAACCAACAGCAAAAACACCUGUGUGAUGUUACAGUGUGUGUUAACGCUACAUGCUGUUUUCAGUCUCAUCUUUCUGUAACCAUAUUCUUGUCCACUUGAUUCAACAAGAAAAGUCACAACAUGAUACACAGAGCCUGCAACACAUCAAAAAUGGGUCCUCACCUGACACUCCUAAGACAAUUUGCCCAGCGCAAGGAAGCAAAGUUGGUCCAAUAAAAGGUAUUACCUCACUCACCUUGCAUGUGUCAGAUGAAGAAAACAACCAGAGUGCCAACAAGAAU
rnacentral:lncRNA from 1 species